rnacentral:rRNA from 1 species
AUUGAACGCUGGCGGCAUGCCUUACACAUGCAAGUCGAACGGCAGCACGGGAGCAAUCCUGGUGGCGAGUGGCGAACGGGUGAGUAAUAUAUCGGAACGUGCCCAGUAGUGGGGGGAUAGCCCGGCGAAAGCCGGAUUAAUACCGCAUACGACCUGUGGGUGAAAGCGGGGGAUCGCAAGACCUCGCGCUAUUGGAGCGGCCGAUAUCAGAUUAGCUUGUUGGUGGGGUAAAAAGCCCACCAAGGCGACGAUCUGUAGCUGGUCUGAGAGGACGACCAGCCACACUGGGACUGAGACACGGCCCAGACUCCUACGGGAGCAGCAGUGGGGAAUUUUGGACAAUGGGCGCAAGCCUGAUCCAGCCAUGCCGCGUGUGGGG